CGCCCGCCGCGCCCCGCGCCCGUCCCGCCGCUCACCCGCCCGAGCCCCCCCCAAGUUUUGGGGCUCAGAGUGAACGCUGGCGGUAGGCCUAACACAUGCUAAGUCGAACGGCAGCGCGGGGCAACCUGGCGGCGAGUGGCGAACGGGUGAGUAAUAUAUCGGAACGUACCCUGGAGUGGGGGAUAACGUAGCGAAAGUUACGCUAAUACCGCAUACGAUCUAAGGAUGAAAGCAGGGGACCGCAAGGCCUUGUGCUCCUGGAGCGGCCGAUAUCUGAUUAGCUAGUUGGUGGGGUAAAGGCCUACCAAGGCAUCGAUUCAGUAGCUGGUCUGAGAGGACGACCAGCCCACACUGGAACUGAGACCACGGUCCAGACUCCUACGGGAGGCAGCAGUGGGGAAUUUUGGACAAUGGGCGCAAGCCUGAUCCAGCAAUGCCGCGUGAGUGAAGAAGGCCUUCGGGUUGUAAAGCUCUUUUGUCAGGGAAGAAACGGGUGAAGCUAAUAUCUUUGCCUAAUGACGGUACCUGAAGAAUAAGCACCGGCUAACUACGUGCCAGCAGCCGCGGUAAUACGUAGGGUGCAAGCGUUAAUCGGAAUUACUGGGCGUAAAGCGUGCGCAGGCGGUUUUGUAAGUCUGUCGUGAAAUCCCCGGGCUCAACCUGGGAAUUGCGAUGGAGACUGCAAGGCUAGAAUCUGGGCAGAGGGGGGUAGAAUUCCACGUGUAGCAGUGAAAUGCGUAGAGAUGUGGAGGAACACCGAUGGCGAAGGCAGCCCCCUGGGUCAAGAUUGACGCUCAUGCACGAAAGCGUGGGGAGCAAACAGGAUUAGAUACCCUGGUAGUCCACGCCCUAAACGAUGUCUACUAGUUGUCGGGUCUUAAUUGACUUGGUCCAAUUACGCAGCUAACGCUGGGAUAGGCAAUU
rnacentral:rRNA from 1 species